UACGGGAGGCAGCGGUAGGGAAUCUUCCGCAAUGGACGAAGUCUGACGGAGCAACGCCGCGUGAACGAUGAGGCUUUCGGGUCGUAAAGUUCUGUUGUUUAGGGAAGAACAAGUACCAGAGUAACUGCUGGUACCUUGACGUACCUAACCAGAAAGCCACGGCUAACUACGUGCCAGCAGCCGCGGUAAUACGUAGGUGGCAAGCGUUGUUCCGGAAUUAUGGGCGUAAAGCGCGCGCAGGUGGUCCUUUUAAGUCUGAUGUUGAAAGCCCACGGCUCAACCGUGAGGGUCAUUGGAAACUGGGGGAACUGAGUGCAGAAGAGGAAAGUGGAAAGUUCCAACGUGUAGCGGUGAAAAUGCGUAGAGAAGUGUAGGAGGAACACCCGAAGUGGCGGAAAAGGUCCGA
rnacentral:rRNA from 1 species